AGGAAGUAAAAGUCGUAACAAGGUCUCCGUAGGUGAACCUGCGGAGGGAUCAUUACAAGUGACCCCGGUCUUACCACCGGGAUGUUCAUAACCCUUUGUUGUCCGACUCUGUUGCCUCCGGGGCGACCCUGCCUUCGGGCGGGGGCUCCGGGUGGACACUUCAAACUCUUGCGUAACUUUGCAGUCUGAGUAAACUUAAUUAAUAAAUUAAAACUUUUAACAAAGGAUCUCUUGGUUCUGGCAUCGAUGAAGAACGCAGCGAAAUGCGAUAAGUAAUGUGAAUUGCAGAAUUCAGUGAAUCAUCGAAUCUUUGAACGCACAUUGCGCCCCCUGGUAUUCCGGGGGGCAUGCCUGUUCGAGCGUCAUUUCACCACUCAAGCCUCGCUUGGUAUUGGGCAACGCGGUCCGCCGCGUGCCUCAAAUCGACCGGCUGGGUCUUCUGUCCCCUAAGCGUUGUGGAAACUAUUCGCUAAAGGGUGUUCGGGAGGCUACG
rnacentral:misc_RNA from 1 species